GGGCUCCAUUUCUAUUUAAAUCCACUGAAGCUAACUCAUCUUGUUAUUUCUCAUUUCCACCACUGCCAGCUGGUUUAAAGGCAGUGAUGAAGUAAGUUCAGGCCAAGCAGUCCCCAUUCUAGAGAUUCCCUCCUGCUGUCUCCACUGUCUCUUUCCCUUUCAUGUUGUCAUGCAUGGAGAGAGAAGACAUAAUGUCAGCCACGGGCAUGGUCCCUUGAAUCGCUGGGAAGUCAGAUUGGCUCCCUAAGAUUGCAGGGGUAUUCUUUAUCAUCUCCUUCACCCCAGUUCCCUUUUCUUCAUCUGACUCACCUCACCUUACAACUCCCCCACUCGCUUCUACCUGAGGCACAUGUAUAAACACACACACAUACACCCUGUACUACCACCUCAUACAAAUCUGUUCAUCAGAGAAUCUCUUACCAACUUUCCGUAGAGUCUCUGUUGUGCUUUGGUACAAUGUGGUUGUCCCCUAUUCAAAACUAAACCUGUUUCCUUUAUCCUCAACAUCCACCUUCUAGCUAUGUUUCA
rnacentral:lncRNA from 1 species